rnacentral:lncRNA from 1 species
UCUUGGCCUUGUGUCUCCUACUGCUGCUGGGAGAUAUUUGGAGCGGCCAACGAAUGAAAAGGCACCGAGCUCGUCCACGCUGAAACAAGUGGCAACCUUGUGCAGGGUUACUACAGAUCUCCUUUUAGUGGCCACGACAAAGAUUCGCCAUUUUGGUUCGGAACGAGUCGAACAUAACAGUGUGGGGUGCUCCCUGCGAACAGAAGAUCAUUGUGAAGUCUUCACAAACCAGAAGACCGCCCAUGACGAUGACCUAGGAGACAUGCCCUUGACGCCCAUACAUGUAUGAAAGG